CCCAUGUGCCAUGAUAAGGAUGAUCAGCACUAUGUCACUCGACUGCUGGUAUAGAAGGAAAAACCAUAACUAGACGCCCUAGUCACAUUUUCGGCGGGAUCCAAAGUCUCAAAAAGUACCCGUCGAUCGUCUCCGACUUCCCUUCAGAUUAUAAUUUUGAGGAUCUAUAUUCAAGCUGUCUUCAUUUAAGCUGCCUAAUGGCGGUUGAGAGAAUUCUUAAAGAUGAAGCUAGUGAAGAAAAAGGAGAGCGUGCCAGAAUGGUGAGUUUUGUACUGGUUUGCAUGGUAACCUUGAUGCACGCGUUAAGUGAUUCAUCAAAGAAUAAUGUAUAUCACUCACAAAAUUGUGAGAAAGUAACUUGUCUACAUUAGUUAUUUUCCCUGCUAUUUUACUAAAUGAUGCUUCUAUUACAUUCUGUCCAUCAUAAUUUGAAUAUUUCCUUUUUAAGGCAUCAUUUGUUGGUGCAAUGGCAAUUGCUGACUUGGUCAAGACAACGUUAGGACCAAAAGGGAUGGACAAAAUUUUGCAGUCAACAGGCAGAGGACGUGAAGUUACUGUUACAAAUGAUGGGGCCACCAUCUUAAAGUCCCUUCAUAUUGAUAACCCAGCUGCUAAAGUUCUAGUUGGUAUCCUUUCAUUGCUUCUCUGUCUUGUAUACAUUGUGGCUCUUGUAGUUUUCUUUUCAUGAUUUUUGUAAGUGAAUGAGUUAAAGUCUAUGUAAGUUGGGGUGCCUAUGAUUUAUUUGAACUUAUUGCUUGUAGAAGAAGGUGGGGAUUUUGUUGACAAAGACCUCUCUUUCUCUUGCAAUCAAUUGCUGUCUUUAUACAAAUAUUUACAUUUUGACUGAAGCAUAGCCUAAUUGCUAUCCUGUCCUUUCCUGUAAACAAGAAAUAAAAAGUUGAAAAUGGUACUGAAUAUACUGCAGCUAGCCAUGCCAGAAAAUUGUUAAAAAUCAUCGAUAAUUUUGAUGGCAAUCAUAACUUGAUGGAAAUCAUUAUUUCGUUGGUCAGACAUUUCAAAAGUUCAAGAUGAUGAAGUUGGUGAUGGAACAACUUCUGUUGUUGUUUUGGCUGGGGAGCUUUUGAGGGAGGCAGAAAAGCUGGUGGCCGCAAAGAUUCACCCAAUGACAAUAAUUGCAGGUUAUCGAAUGGCAGCAGAAUGUGCUCGCAAUGCUUUGUUGCAAAAAGUUGUGGACAACAAAGAGAAUGAAGAAAAAUUCAAGCUGGACUUGAUGAAGAUUGCAAUGACCACUUUGAGUUCCAAAAUUUUAUCACAGGAUAAGGAACAUUUUGCAAAACUAGCUGUGGAUGCUGUUUUGAGGCUAAAGGGUAGUACAAACUUAGAGUCUAUUCAAAUUAUCAAGAAGCCUGGGGGUUCACUGAAGGAAUCUUUCUUGGAUGAAGGAUUUAUUCUUGACAAAAAAAUAGGUAUUGGGCAACCAAAGCGCAUAGAGAAUGCAAAGAUUUUGGUGGCAAAUACUGCAAUGGACACAGACAAAGUAAAGAUCUAUGGUGCGCGUGUUCGUGUUGAUUCAAUGUCUAGGGUUGCAGAUAUUGAAGCAGCUGAGAAGCAAAAAAUGAGAGAAAAGGUGGAUAAGAUAAUAGCUCAUGGGAUUAACUGCUUUGUAAACAGGCAAUUGAUUUACAAUUUCCCAGAGGAACUUUUUGCUAAUGCUGGAAUACUUGCAAUUGAGCAUGCUGAUUUUGAUGGAAUUGAACGUCUCGCUUUAGUAACUGGUGGUGAAAUUACAUCAACCUUUGAUAAUCCUGAGUCAGUUAAGCUUGGGCACUGCAAGCUUAUCGAGGAAAUCAUGAUUGGUGAGGACAAGUUGAUCCACUUCUCUGGUGUUGCAAUGGGUCAGGCAUGUACUAUUGUACUGAGAGGUGCAAGCCAUCAUGUGCUUGAUGAGGCAGAAAGAUCUCUCCAUGAUGCCUUGUGUGUGCUGUCUCAGACAGUCAAUGACAGUAGGGUUUUGCUUGGUGGUGGAUGGCCCGAGAUGGUGAUGGCAAGGGAUGUGGAUGAGCUGGCUCGAGUAACUCCGGGGAAGAAGUCCCAUGCUAUUGAAGCAUUCUCAAGGGCACUUGUUGCAAUUCCAACUAUCAUUGCAGAUAAUGCUGGUUUAGACAGUGCUGAACUUGUAGCACAGCUCCGAGCAGAGCACCAGAAGGAGGGUUGCGCAGCAGGGAUUGAUGUUAUCACUGGAUCUGUGGGAGAUAUGGCUGAGCUCGGCAUUUCUGAAGCUUUUAAAGUUAAGCAGGCCAUAUUACUCUCUGCAACUGAGGCUGCUGAAAUGAUUCUCAGAGUGGACGAAAUCAUUACUUGUGCCCCAAGAAGGAGAGAAGACAGAAUGUGAAAUCUAGGACGUUUUUUCUGGACAAGGACAUUUGUUGUAAUGCUCUCGGUUUUCUUGGCAUUUGCAAGGCAUCAGUACCGCAUUGAUAUUAAUUUCACCGAGGAUUCCUCGUGAUUUUUUUGAGCUUCAGUUGUGUUCCGGAAACGCAGCCAUUGUUACCGAAUUCUUGCAUUUUGGAAUUAAUAGCAAUUAUAUCUCGAGUGUUUUAUGAUGCAUAGUGCAUGAUAGGCCAAAAUUGGUGAUAUCUUAAUUCUGAUUCUGCUGAAUGGCGCGUACGACCUAGUUAUGGCUCUCUGAGUUGUGAAAUUGUUCUACGUGUAACUCGUUAUUUUAAGGUGCUAGUUCAGUGGUCAGACUCUUUAAUUUUAUGACUUUUAUUUUGUAUAUUGAUGCGGAAUCGGCCAUGGUACGGAUUGAAAUUUAUUAAAAUCAAGUUGGUUAAAGUGGAUAUUGAAUUGAAUCAAAUCAAAAUUGAAACUUAAAAUGGGUGCUGAGGGAUUUUAUGAUUUGGUUUAAGGGGUG
rnacentral:misc_RNA from 1 species